GGUACAAACUUGAUGUAGAAUGGUUGGGUAUGGUCAGCUGAUCCUACCAAUCUACUCUAUUUCAGGUUUGUGCUC
rfam:Haemonchus placei strain MHpl1 genome assembly, scaffold: HPLM_scaffold0007015